UCUAUGAGGCCUGCAUCCUGCUGUGGUCGCACAGGGAGAGUGUUUCUGUCUGUAACAAAGAACCACUGUUUAACGUGUUAGCAGACCGAACUGUGUCGCAAAGCAGUUGUCUUUACGUCCUGCUCUCUCCUGAGUGUAAAACAGACUCUGAUCUCUAUCAGCUAUUUACAUAAAAUCCUGUAAAAACCUGGCGAGCGUUCUUCAGAUAACGAAAAACCUCUUUAACACAAAACAGGUUUGCGUGUUAGUGCCACAACAAAUAUUUCCCUUUGCUUUUAAUGGGCAUUUUAUUCUCAUUUUCUCUCAAGGCCGGUGUGAACUUUCUUCAUACAUUCAUCCUUCAAAACAACGCCACACUGAAUAUAUGUUGAUAGUGGCGAUCUACAGCUGUGAAGGCCGUAGAAAUUAUUAUACUGUUAUAAUAUUAUACUAUUUUCUCCUUUUAUAACAAGCAUUACACAGCUUCUGAUUACAAGCUUUUGACGGCUAAAUUUCACAGUAUAAGUGAUCCACGCCCUUUUUCCACAUUUGAUUUCCACCUAAAUUGAAGGUUACUCAGGUACAGUCACAUUACACCCAUCGUCCAAUGAGCCCAGAGAAGGGAUGUGAUGUCACGGUUCCAGUGCGGGUGAUACAUAAACAACUGAGCGGGAGUGAUUACAACUUAUCAACAGUCUGUGAGAGCGAUGCUGCAGUUUAUAUUGUGGUAUUGUGAUAAUGCAACCGAGCACAUCCUCGCCGUUAAAGGAGACCAGCGAGCGCGUCUUAGCGAAUACAGGCGCUGACGAACAAAUGAACAGAGAAGAAGUUGACACCCUGUGUCUCGUAUCAGGGAAGAAAUGAUCUUCUUUGCAGGUUAUGACACACGAUCAGGGUCCAUGCAGUAUUACUCGUGCUGACACACAGAUCUAAGACAGCAGGGACUCACCUCACUCUGAAUCACCUUGGGACUUGCUCCAGCUUCGGUUGCAGGUGUGGUCUCUCGGCUGGCAGGGACCCAGUGGAGCUGUGAAGACCUCUACUGUCUCUACCACUUGUGCCUCUAUUGCAAAUAUUUGCAGCCACCAGCUGUUUCCUGAAUUGUUUUCUGAAAUGUGCAGCACAGUAUCUUUGCCUCCCUUCUGUCCUUGACUCGUUUCUUUAUUUUUUUUCUGGCGCGCGAGAACCCCAGAAGACCCGUGAAGCAACUUAAAGAGGUGGGAAACUCUUAAAACUGUUGGCGUACACAUACCUGCGGCUUGUUUACCCUUUCUCUUUAAUUUAUUCCUCCAAAUAAAAAAUAAAAAAAUA